CCUACGGGGGGCAGCAGUGGGGAAUAUUGCACAAUGGGGGAAACCCUGAUGCAGCGACGCCGCGUGAGUGAAGAAGUAUUUCGGUAUGUAAAGCUCUAUCAGCAGGGAAGAAAUAAAGUCCUUCGGACUUUGGACGGUACCUGACUAAGAAGCCCCGUCUAACUACGUGCCACGAGCCGCGGUAAUACGUAGGGGGCAACCGUUAUAAGGCUUUACUGGGUGUAAAGGGAGCGUCGACGGCGGCGCAAGGCUGGAGGGAAAUCACAUGGCUUAAACAUGGAACUGCUGUGGAAACGGGGCAGCUGGAGUGCAGGAGAGGUAAGCGGAAUUCCUAGUGUAGCGGUGAAAUGCGGAGAUAUUAGGAGGAACACCAGUGGCGAAGGCGGCUUACUGGACUGUAACUGACGUUGAGGCUCGAAAGCGUGGGGAGCGAACAGGAUUAGAUACCCCUGUAGUC
rnacentral:rRNA from 1 species